rnacentral:rRNA from 1 species
GACGGAGGGUGCAAACGUUGCUCGGAAUCACUGGGCAUAAAGCGCACGUAGGCGGCCAACUAAGUCGGGUGUGAAAGCCCCGGGCUCAACCUGGGAAUUGCAUUCGAGACUGAAUAGCUAGGGUGCGGAAGAGGGAAGCGGAAUUUCCGGUGUAGCGGUGAAAUGCGUAGAUAUCGGAAGGAACACCAGUGGCGAAAGCGGCUUCCUGGUCCAGCACCGACGUUCAGGCACGAAAGCGUGGGGAGCAAACAGG